rnacentral:misc_RNA from 2 species
AACGCACCUUGCGCCCUUUGGUAUUCCGAAGGGCACACCUGUUUGAGUGUCGUGAAAUUCUCAACCCUCUUCACUUUUGUGAACGUAGUGGAUUGGACUUGGAGGCUUUGCCGGGCUUCACCGCUCGGCUCCUCUCAAAUGCAUUAGUGCGUCUUGUUGCGACGCGCGCCUCGGUGUGAUAAUUAUCUACGCUGUGGUGUGCUUGCUUCUGUGGAGACGCGCUUUCUAACUGUCCGAAAGGACAGCUUUCAUCGAACUUUGACCUCAAAUCAGGUGGGACUACCCGCUGAACUUAA